CGAGUAUUGUCAUGGGAGGAAUGCCGUGGUUUGGUUGAGGAAUUUUUCGCAUGAAUUUGCGGAGAAGUGUGAUUGUUCAGCUCUUGAACAUGUUUUAUCUACAAUUCCUGGCGCUAAGAGGAUGAUUAUGGGUCAUACCAUUCAAGAGUUUGGGAUUAAUGGCGUUUGCGAAGAGAGAGCAAUUCGGAUUGAUGUUGGUAUGUCGAAGGGGUGUAUUAAUGGGUUGCCUGAAGUUUUGGAGAUCAAUGGGAAUUCAGGUAUGAGGAUCUUGACCUCAAAUCCAUUGUACGAGAAGAAGAAGAAUAGAUCUUCUGUGGAAAGUGAGAGGAGGCCAGGGCCUGGAUUUUUGCCUCAAGAGCAUGGACCAAAACAAGUGGAAGUGAAGGCUUAACUAUUUGGCUUUUGCUUUUCCUGAACCAGAAUCUGGAAAUUGCAAUGGAGAACAUCAUUUCUCUGUGAUUCAUUUUAAAAAUGUUCUCUAUUGAAAGUUGGAUUCAGCAGAACUGAUUUUCUAACAAUGCAAGUACGGGGAUUUGGGUUUCUAUGCAGUUCUUCCAGCUAUCAAUAUCACUCUUAGCCUCCUUUGUUUCGAAAACUGCCUCAAGUUCAAGCUCGCCAGCAAACUCCUGCUCACCAGAUGGCUGACAAGCAUACUUGGUCAAACAAAGAAGAGAAAUCAUUGCCGGCUGACAUCGAGGAGAAGUCGUUGCAAAUGGCCAAUGUGAUGGAGUAGCUACUUUUAAGAAUAGAUGAAUGCAGGAAGGUGUUGUAACUUGUUCAUCUUCUUCAAUUCCCCCCAGGGAUAUAUGGUGACUCUGCGAUUAUGGACUUGCUUUAUAAUAUAUAUCCAAGUAUUCACUACGUUCUAGUCGUAGAAGUUAUCUUUUCUCUUUUCUGGGUUAUGUAUCCAACUAUAUUCUAAGAUGCAUUUGAGGAAUAUAAUUAUCAUUGAGAUUUCAAUUUUGAGUACAGGAAUGUGAGCUUGUAUAAAUAGGGAUAAGCAUCAA